AUUGGAGAGAGUGAGUUGUUUAUGAAGAAGAUAAUAUAAUAUUGGAGGGUAUCCACAAUCCCAACAAGGCAACAACCAUAUCUUCCAUUAAGAGUAAAUAUUAGAGAUCACACCUUCCUCAGUUGACUUUGGUUUUUGAGUGAUGUUUCCUUUACAACAAAGUGAUGAUAAUGAGUUGGUAUUUCAGAUUCUCUCAAAUUCUUGCCAACAACACCAAAUCUCCCAAGAUUUCAUUAUGAAUUAUGCUAUUCAUCCUUCUCCACGGACCACUAUUCAUCAUCAGCUAAAUCAUGUUAAAAUUAUUCCAAAGAAAAAGAUUUGGGUACAAAUAAUCCACAUAAAGUUAAUGAUGAUGAUUUGAAGCUUAAGAAAAUUAUGCAUAGAGAUUUGGAACGUCAGAGAAGGCAAGGAAUGUCUAUUCUUCAGUCUUCUCUAAGAUCUCUCCUCCCUAUUCACUAUGUCAAGGGAAAAAGAUCAGUGUUGGAUCAUAUGCAUGAAGCGGUGAAGUAUAUCAAACAGUUGCAGGAAAAUAUGAAUGAGUUAGAAAGAAAAAAGAGAAGCUAAAAAUUAUGCUUCCUAACUCAAGGAAUAAUAAUCCUUGUGGAAAGGAAAAUAUAGUGUAUCCCAACAUUGUGUGACAGUGAGUCCAUGUCAAGGUGGUGUAGAGAUUUUAAUCAAUGCAAAAGGAAAUAAUUUAGCCCUCAAUCUCCAGAGUGAUACAAGAGCUAAUUAAUGUAACAAGGGAUUGAUGUUGUUACUUGUGUUUCUGCUAAUGUCAAUCAAAACUCUCUCCAUAAAAUUCAAUCCGAGGUACGUGAUAUGAAAUGUAUCAAUGUUCAUGCACUGCAAACAAAGUUGAUUGAUGUGAUCAUGAACAUUGAUUUGGAGUAGUUUUUAAGUGGAAAUCCUUAAGUCAGAACUCAAGAAUCAUGCCAAGUAAUCAUCAAGACCUUCUUUCCCUCUUAUAUAUCUCGAAUAAUAUGUGAUUUUAGUUACUACUACUAUUCAAUAAAAGAGGUUAGGAAAAUGCUUGAUGAUUGAGCUAAUAAAAAUAAGGGAUAAGGCACAAGUACCCUAUACUAUGACUCAAAUUUCAGAGAUACACUUUAACUAAACUAAGGUCCUAUUACCACCCCCGAACCCAUUAUUUUUUAUAAUUUUGUACACCUUUUUGGCUUAUGUGGCAUGCAAACAUCUGUCACACGCUUUUACCUAUGUGGAGUCACAGAGUGUGCCAUGCACGCAAGCCCAAAGGUGUACAAAGUUACAAAAGAAAUGAGUUCAGGGGGUAAUAUGACCUUAAUUUAAUUUAAGUGUGUCUUUGAAAUUUCAGUCAUAAUUAAUCUGAAAGAUACUUAUGCCUUAUCCCUAAAAAUAAUGGUGGUUUUGAGCAUAUUAUAUAGAUUUGACUUGCAAGAGAUCAAUGAUGAAGAUAUAUCCACGUGAAGAGUCCCAUAUCGGUCCUUAAAAUAAUUUGGUUAUUCUUAUUUAAUUGCUUGAACUAGUUUUUGAGGUUAGUUAGACUCUCGAUCCAUUUCCUCAAUAAUAUAUUUGUUCACUUCAUGAUGGAAAAUAUAGAAUGAGAAAUGGAUCUCCAGUCUCCUGACUUUCUGAUGUCAUAGGAGAAGAUGACAAAUAUUUGCAUUUGGAUUAUAUACAUAGUGCAAUACUAAAUGUUGCAUGCUUUGCUGGAAUAAAAGGUUUAAUCUGUCUCUCUGGCAUAUAUAUUAGAAUGAAUAUAGAUGGUAAAAUCAUGUGCAUAACUAAUUCCGAAUUGUUUGAAAACAUACACAUGCUCAGAAAAUACUUAAAUGGGUCAUUUUGUUGGUGGUUAGUUAGAGUUGCGUAAGUAUUUGUAAUGUAAGAUUGAAAUUCGUUAUCUGUAUUAGUUAUUCA